ACGAACGCUGGCGGCGUGCUUAACCCAUGCAAGUCGAACGGAAAGGCCCUGCUUUUGUGGGGUGCUCGAGUGGCGAACGGGUGAGUAACACGUGAGUAACCUGCCCUUGACUUUGGGAUAACUUCAGGAAACUGGGGCUAAUACCGGAUAGGAGCUCCUGCUGCAUGGUGGGGGUUGGAAAGGUUCGGCGGUUGGGGAUGGACUCGCGGCUUAUCAGCUUGUUGGUGGGGUAGUGGCUUACCAAGGCUUUGACGGGUAGCCGGCCUGAGAGGGUGACCGGCCACAUUGGGACUGAGAUACGGCCCAGACUCCUACGGGAGGCAGCAGUGGGGAAUAUUGCACAAUGGGCGGAAGCCUGAUGCAGCAACGCCGCGUGCGGGAUGACGGCCUUCGGGUUGUAAACCGCUUUCGCCUGUGACGAAGCGUGAGUGACGGUAAUGGGUAAAGAAGCACCGGCUAACUACGUG
rnacentral:rRNA from 1 species